ACAGUGUCUGGUGGGUAGUUUGACUGGGGCGGUCUCCUCCUAAAGAGUAACGGAGGAGCACGAAGGUUGGCUAAUCCUGGUCGGACAUCAGGAGGUUAGUGCAAUGGCAUAAGCCAGCUUGACUGCGAGCGUGACGGCGCGAGCAGGUGCGAAAGCAGGUCAUAGUGAUCCGGUGGUUCUGAAUGGAAGGGCCAUCGCUCAACGGAUAAAAGGUACUCCGGGGAUAACAGGCUGAUACCGCCCAAGAGUUCAUAUCGACGGCGGUGUUUGGCACCUCGAUGUCGGCUCAUCACAUCCUGGGGCUGAAGUAGGUCCCAAGGGUAUGGCUGUUCGCCAUUUAAAGUGGUACGCGAGCUGGGUUUAGAACGUCGUGAGACAGUUCGGUCCCUAUCUGCCGUGGGCGCUGGAGAACUGAGGGGGGCUGCUCCUAGUACGAGAGGACCGGAGUGGACGCAUCACUGGUGUUCGGGUUGUCAUGCCAA
rnacentral:rRNA from 1 species